AGGCCCAGGGCACCCCUGGGACGCUGUUUUUUAGUAAUGACUUUCGGGAGGGUAAAGGUAUCCCGGACGGCUGGACCCGAGGCUAGAGCUUCUACUCCCCAUGCCCCACCCCCACCCCGCGCUCGGGAGCCUCUCGGAAUAAAUAUUUCCAGGCUUCGGGCCACGGGCUGGCGAGACCCCGCGGGGUGGCCGCAGGCCAAAGAUUAUUUAUAGCAGUGAGCGGUCCGUGCCCGGAGGCAGUCACUGCAGAUGGGGGUUGGAGUUUCCUCCGUUCUCCGGUGUGGCCGGCGCAAGAACCGGGCAGCCCUCUGAGGGCUCUGCAGGGUGGGGUCGCGGGGCGAGAGCCGCAGUUUUCCGAAUGCAUUUUGCCCUGGAAAUAACUGAGUCGAACUUUCGUUGCCGCCCUGGAGUUUGGAACCAGAGCGCGGAGGAAGGCGCGUCUCGCGGGGCGGGGCGGGAGCGGGCGGAGCGACCCGCGCAGGUAACCGGAUCCCCGCCGGCGGCGGCGGCGCGAGCCGAGGAUGGCUGGGACCCGGCCCCGGCCUGGCGCUCCGAAGAGGUGGCGGAGCCGGCCCCGCGAGGGGUAGCACCGGGUGAGAAGAGGAGAGGCGCCACCUGUCCGGCCGACCAGCCUGCCCGCCGACAGACGUAGGCAUUCGGGCUCCAGACCCCCCAGGUCAUGCACCCCCAAGGAGACAACCCGGCUCCUCCCUUUCCCGGGUAGUCUCCCUCCUCACUGUCCUUCCUUCCACGCAAAACUAUUCUCCAGCUAGAUGUGCACACACCCCGGCGCAGUCGAAAAGUGACUCUGCAGAACCCGAAUCCCUAAUCGCUUUUCCACAUGCGCCUCCGGCCCCGGCGCGCGACAGGGAGCUAGCCGCGAGCGCCCGCGCCGCCAGGAGGGGGCCAGGUUGCGGGGGACGCCGCCCCGCUCCCGAGGUGGAGGGUGGGGAAGGGCUCCCCCCGCCGUGUCGCCGCUCCAGACGGCGUCUACCCCUUUAAGAAAACCGAGGCGGAGGGGGCGAGGAGCGGGCUGCCCUCCCACCGUCUGCUGUGCCCGUCUCCCUCGCUCCGUCUGACGCUCCGUCUCUCCUCUCCUUCUUUUCCUCUGUUUUUCUUUUCUUUCGACACAAAAGUUGGGUUGUGAAUUUUCCGAGGUCGCCGCCGCCUCGCCCCCACCCCCCGCCUCUGAUCUGCCUAACUAUAAUUAAAGUGCGUUUUUUGUGGCAUUAA